UUGUAACAGCUUUAUGUAUCAUUGCUGACAUGUAUCUCAAGCUAAUAUUUAGUUAAUUCCUAAACACUUUUGAGACUGGGUGGGUCAGGCAAAUCACAGGAGUCACGAACGAUUACACUAUUGGAAGGGGAACACUGGCCCCCACAGGGUUAGGGGGUUGCACAGAAGGGUUUGGGUCCAGGAAGUAAGAAAAGUUACGGGGGGGGGGGGGUCUGGAUAAAUCGCUGGUGCCAGUAUUUCGAACAAGGACUAGGCAAUAGUGCAGAGCUGAGCUAGUUUGUACGACAUAACUGAUUGAAAACAGUGCAACAAAGAUAGAGGGACACGAUACAAGUGCUUGUAAUGUGUCCCUUUGUUCUCGUCUGUGUUUCGCUGUUUUUGGUCAGUUCUGUCGAACAAGGGCUCUUCCGCCCCAGGGCUCUACUAUCGCACAUGAGUAGUUUUCUUUUGCAUGCAGUCUGGACGAUAUAGGACCUCAGUCCUUACAGUGAGGCCCAUCAGGCAUGGAUCUAUAGGGCAGGGUCGGAUGUCCUGACCCCCAUCUCAAUCUCUAUCGUCACAUUGUGCUUCAAUUGACUCUAGGUAGUGCAUGUAGAAUGCUGUCCAGGCUGAACUCCCUCUCAGAAAAAUCCUGGAUCUGCCCGAGGCCCAUUAUUAUAUUUUCACCAAACAACUGCGAAGAGUGGAGUAGAGUAUCACCAAUCUCUAUGAAACACCCUAAUCAUCAUCCAUAAAAAUAAUGCGCGUGUCACAAAAUACGCAAUAUUGUUGUUACAGAUCAUGCUUCAAUGCUGCCACGUGCCCUUUCUCUUGUCUCUUGAGCAAGAUGAUGGCUUCCAUGUUUAUGGUGUUGCCGUGUGCUCUGAACUUCACACAGUGGUGCUUCAGUGCUUGAAAGUUGUGCAUAUUUCCUUGAUGCCACUUUCCACUUUGAUCCUCUCCAGAAGAGCCAACCACCACAACUGAAUGAGGCUGCAUUCACACUGAAGACGAAUGUCGACACAGUUCCCCCUGAAGUCAGCACAGGACGCAUACUAACCACACUGUCCCACUCUCCUUCCUGCUGUCCUCUCUCCAUCUGUCCACAUCUGUACACCACUCAUAGCCACAGUUGCUUAGCGGUGCUAACACAGAAUUUAAAAAACAAUUGGACAUGCUUUUCAGUUAUGUCUAGAGUAAGACGCUGCAGACUAAAUCUUGUGCCUUCAGAAUCGUACCGAAUUUGUGCCAUUGCAGUGCAAGUGUCUCGCACAGUAUUCUCCUAAAAAAUUGUUUGCCUAUAUGAAGCAGAAGUAUAAAAAAAUUCAAAUGUAAUUCUAGUUUUGAGGAGUUUCAUCGUGUCAUGUGGUGAUCAAGCUGUCAACAUGUUUGAUGACUGCUCCCCUGAGGACAAUUUUCGUCUCCUCACCAAAGCUUCUGGCAGCUGUUCCUCCAGCGUUCAGUGAAAAGAAAACAUGCCUACGCUGUUGCUAGGAAAGAGACACAAACUCUCGAUGAUGUCACAUACUCUUGGAAAAUCUGAAUCCAUGGAGUUUUGAGAGUUCUUUUUAAAAUUCGUGGCAGCGUGUAAUGUUCACUGACAGCAUUUAUAUUUUGAAUAUGGAGUCUGUGAGCGAGGUUGAUUUAUAAUGCGAAAUAAAAUAAGUAUAAUCUUUUUA